rnacentral:piRNA from 1 species
AAAUGAUAACAACUGUUGACUAAGGGC